GGGGAAGUUGCAAAAAGACGAACCAUAGCAUUGGUGAGGAAAUUAUUUAAUGAAAAAGAUAGAGAGAAACGGGAACAAAAUAUUGCGACAAUUGCACAAAUGGUUGUCGCUAGAAAUGAUAAACAAUCACAAAUAAAUAGAUUAGCUGAAAUGGUUAAGAAAACAAAAACUUUAUAUAAAGAAAAACGUAGUUAUAAUAUAGAG